UCAGAGCGCAGGGUCAGCCAUCGUGUGGCGCCCCUGGAGCAGGUGUGGUUAAUUGCCUUGCUCAAGGACCCAACGUAGAUGUCUCAGCAGCUUCUGGGCUUGAAACCCGACCUUCUGAUUAGGAAUCCAGUGCCUUGACCGCUGGACCAUCACGUCCUCACGUCAUCAACAUGCUGUAAACCAAAUUUGUGAUAACUGGACAAAAUCGGCAGACGUGUCCGAGUGGCAAACACCAACAUCGUUCUGAAGGUCUUCUUGGGCUUUCCUAUGUACACUGGGUUUAGUAAUCCAGACGGUUAGAACUCUCUGGACUUCACACAGAGUUUAACAGCAACAGAUUCCAAGUACAAAUGGCACAUGAAAUGAACCUGCUGACUGCUUCGGACAAUAAGUCUUAUGAAGGUGGGACUACAUACAUAAGGGGUUUGAAAUGAACCUUUUCGCUCACCAGCCACUUUGGUUCACAGACAAUCACAGAUAAUAAUAAUAAUAAUAAUAAUAAUAAUAAUAAUAUCAUUAUCAUUAUUUGUGAUUUCAUACAUGAGCCAUAUGCAGUUUGUCACCUGGGAUUAAAAUGUCUACUUUUAUUUUCUAGGUCUUUUUGGGCCCUAACCCUUUGUACACUGUGUUCAGUAAUCCAGGUAAACAUCACCACAUGUGUUUUCACUAUUACUUUAACAUAUAUGAACCAGCACGAUGUUAUUUGUUGUGUGGUGACUGGUAUGUUCAAGUAAGCCAGAUAUGUGCACUGUAUUAAGCUGUAUUAAAUACAUCAUGAUGAUGUUGUGAUGUACAUAAUGAUGUAAAUGUACAUAAUUUUUCCAUUUUUACACCAAUAUUCUGUAGUAGACUUAUAACAUAAGCAUAACCUUAAACCCUAAACCUAAAUCCUAAUUCCCAAUCCUAACCUAAACCCUAACACUAACUCUAACUAACCCAAACCUAACU